GUCGAGAAUAAUUCACAAUGGGCGAAAGCCUGAUGGUGUGACGCCGCGUGGAGGAUGAAGGUCUUCGGAUUGUAAACUCCUGUCAUGUGGGAGUAAAGCCGGGCGUUAACUGCGCGCCGGUCUGAGAGUACCACAAGAGGAAGAGACGGCUAACUCUGUGCCAGCAGCCGCGGUAAUACAGAGGUCUCAAGCGUUGUUCGGAAUCACUGGGCGUAAAGGGUGCGUAGGCUGCGGCGUAAGUCAGAUGUGAAAUCCCGGGGCUCAACCUCGGAAUUGCAUCCGAUACUGCGUUGCUUGAGGGCUGGAGAGGAGUCUGGAAUUCAUGGUGGAGCAGUGAAAUGCGUAGAUAUCAUGAGGAACGCUAGUGGCGUAGGCGAGACUCUGGACAGAUCCUGACGCUGAGGCACGAAGGCCAGGGGAGCAAACGGGAUUAGAAACCCCAGUAGUCC
rnacentral:rRNA from 1 species